GGGGAUUUAGCUCAGCGGCAUAAGCGCCUGCCUUGCAAGCAGGAAGUCGUGAGUUCAAUCUCCA
rnacentral:tRNA from 1 species